rnacentral:rRNA from 1 species
AAAUUGAAGAGUUUGAUCAUGGCUCAGAUUGAACGCUGGCGGCAGGCCUAACACAUGCAAGUCGAACGGUAACAGGAAGCAGCUUGCUGCUUUGCUGACGAGUGGCGGACGGGUGAGUAAUGUCUGGGAAACUGCCUGAUGGAGGGGGAUAACUACUGGAAACGGUAGCUAAUACCGCAUAAUGUCGCAAGACCAAAGAGGGGGACCUUCGGGCCUCUUGCCAUCGGAUGUGCCCAGAUGGGAUUAGCUAGUAGGUGGGGUAACGGCUCACCUAGGCGACGAUCCCUAGCUGGUCUGAGAGGAUGACCAGCCACACUGGAACUGAGACACGGUCCAGACUCCUACGGGAGGCAGCAGUGGGGAAUAUUGCACAAUGGGCGCAAGCCUGAUGCAGCCAUGCCGCGUGUAUGAAGAAGGCCUUCGGGUUGUAAAGUACUUUCAGCGGGGAGGAAGGGAGUAAAGUUAAUACCUUUGCUCAUUGACGUUACCCGCAGAAGAAGCACCGGCUAACUCCGUGCCAGCAGCCGCGGUAAUACGGAGGGUGCAAGCGUUAAUCGGAAUUACUGGGCGUAAAGCGCACGCAGGCGGUUUGUUAAGUCAGAUGUGAAAUCCCCGG